rnacentral:rRNA from 1 species
UACGUAGGGUGCAAGCGUUAAUCGGAAUUACUGGGCGUAAAGCGUGCGCAGGCGGUUGUGCAAGACAGAUGUGAAAUCCCCGGGCUUAACCUGGGAAUUGCAUUUGUGACUGCACGGCUAGAGUGUGUCAGAGGGGGGUAGAAUUCCACGUGUAGCAGUGAAAUGCGUAGAUAUGUGGAGGAAUACCGAUGGCGAAGGCAGCCCCCUGGGAUAACACUGACGCUCAGCCACGAAAGCAUGGGGAGCGAACGGG